UUUUUGGUCUACAAAGAUCGAGAUUCAGAAAAGCUCCUUGAUCCGAAUCCAAAAUAUCCAUCCCUUUUGCAGUGCUUGGAUGGAAGGCUAGAAAGGGAAAUUGGAGAGAUCAGAGAGUGCCGGGGUGACUGAUGUAACCAGUCGUCUCCUCCGGUGAGUACCUUCAAGUCCAAAUUGAUCUUUAUUCUCCGAUGAGAUAACUAAUUGUAAGCAAAAUCUGAGAUGCGGUAUGGAGUGAGCAGUCUCCUUUAGACGUGACUCUCCGAUGGUAGAUCUGGUUCAUUCGAGAGUAAAUUCCGGCAAACAGAAUAAGCUUAAGGACUAAGAUUUUUGGUGACAAGAAAGAAAGGGAAUGAUAGCCUUGUGCUGUAUGAAUUCUUGAUAAAAGGAAUCAUGGAGGUGAAACCGUACAAGACGUUAUAGAAGGCUUGCUUUUGAGAUGGAGAGAAGGUGAGGAAAGGGAGAACCAACGAUGAAGCUUUGACUGGUUAGUUCAUGAAGCUGGGCUGAACAGUAGGCGUCGCCGGAGGAGAGCAGAGUCGUCGGAAUGAAUGCGCUGCCGGCAAGGGGUACGAAGAUGGUCGUGUAUGUUUUAGUUGCAGCUCCUUCAGGAUCGAAGGACAAGGACCUGGAAUGAUUGGGAUGCCUGGACAUUCUUGGAGGGGCAUGACAUGUAGUUACAUGUUCUUUAUUAUGUUAUGGUUUUCAAAACAUAAUUUACUUUCAAUAAUCUUAUUAUGUUUAUGUUGAUACGACAUGAGAGUAUAACUUUAUGAUUUGCUAAUGAUUAUGAAUAAAACCUUUUGGAACGA